rnacentral:rRNA from 1 species
AGAGGUUCCAACUUUGCGGUAGGAGGAUUUCCGCGUCUGGCAUUGAUCAAUGCGCCUAACUUGCCGAUGUAUAAUGAAGAUGGUACUCCCUACUAUCUGGCUCAAGGUUUGG